GUCUAUAGUCACACCACCCUGAACACUCCUGAUCUAAUCUGACCUCAGAAAAAGCUAAGCAGGGUCUGGCCUCAUUAGUACUUGGAUGAAAUACAAAGUCUCUGGGAAGAUACAAAGGAAGAGG
rnacentral:rRNA from 1 species